ACAGGGAUUGCCCCAGUAACGGCGAGUGAAGCGGCAACAGCUCAAAUUUGAAAUCUGGCCCCCAGGGCCCGAGUUGUAAUUUGCAGAGGAUGCUUUUGGCGCGGUGCCUUCCGAGUUCCCUGGAACGGGACGCCAUAGAGGGUGAGAGCCCCGUCUGGUCGGACGCCUAGCCUGUGUAAAGCUCCUUCGACGAGUCGAGUAGUUUGGGAAUGCUGCUCUAAAUGGGAGGUAUAUGUCUUCUAAAGCUAAAUACCGGCCAGAGACCGAUAGCGCACAAGUAGAGUGAUCGAAAGAUGAAAAGCACUUUGAAAAGAGGGUUAAAUAGUACGUGAAAUUGUUGAAAGGGAAGCGCUUGUGACCAGACUUGGGCCCGGUGGAUCAUCCAGCGUUCUCGCUGGUGCACUCCGCCGGGUUCAGGCCAGCAUCAGUUCGCCGCGGGGGAAAAAGGCUUCGGGAACGUGGCUCCUACGGGAGUGUUAUAGCCCGUUGCAUAAUACCCUGGGGCGGACUGAGGUUCGCGCUCCGCAAGGAUGCUGGCGUAAUGGUCAUCAGCGACCCGUCUUGAAACACGGACCAAGGAGUCGUCUUCGUAUGCGAGUGUUCGGGUGUAAAACCCCUACGCGUAAUGAAAGUGAACGCAGGUGAGAGCUUCGGCGCAUCAUCGACCGAUCCUGAUGUUCUCGGAUGGAUUUGAGUAAGAGCAUACGGGGCCGGACCCGAAAGAAGGUGAACUAUGCCUGUAUAGGGUGAAGCCAGAGGAAACUCUGGUGGAGGCUCGCAGCGGUUCUGACGUGCAAAUCGAUCGUCAAAUAUGGGCAUGGGGGCGAAAGACUAAUCGAACCUUCUAGUAGCUGGUUUCCGCCGAAGU
rnacentral:rRNA from 1 species